rnacentral:tRNA from 1 species
GGAGAGGUGGCCGAGUGGCUGAAGGCAACGGUUUGCUAAACCGUCGUAGUGGUAUAAACCGCUACCGAGGGUUCGAAUCCCUCCCUCUCCG